GGAAUACAGAUCUUUAUAACAUCCAUGAAUGCAUCCACUUGCAAGCCUCCCACCCCACCUCUCCCUUGUCCCUACACGCAAGCCUUUAUCUCCCACUCCAAAAAGUCAGGUGCUUCCAACAGGUGUGGGGACCUGGCUGUUUGUAGUUUUGUCAGUUUGGGUGUAAGGAGGGAGACAGUAAGCCAAUAUUGUCUUAGGUGUAGUCUUAUUGUUCAGCUACCUUGACAUAGCCUAGGAAGCUUCUUGCUCUUGCUGAUUUGUUCUUCAGGGGCAUUUUAUUGUUUAAUAAUGACCUUGGCUGCUUCUCAACAGCCUCCAUAAAGAUAAUAAUCUUGGAUCUGGGUGGGAAGGGCUGGAAACUUAUAGAUGUUCUGCUGGGGUGGCAGAUAGCAGAGGAUCCACUUUCAGGACUAGGUGGAAGUAGGGGAAAAUAAACUAUAACCCUAUUCUAUACAACAUUUGAAAGACAAAUCCUUUCACCUACUGAAGGUGUGGAGAAACUAGGACACUCACAUGUGGUUGGUGAGAAGGUAAUUAUACCGCAUGGGAACAGAUGGCAACAGAGAGGAUCAAGCAAAGCACUGUGGGACCAACUGACCAGAGGUACCCCAUGCACCAAACCACAGAGCAGCAUGUCUGCAGCUACAGAAGAAUGAAGUGCCUGUUGUCUCGCAAAGUUCUUCAGUAGGAUUUGGAGGCAAGUAGAGCCAUUAAUUAAUAAAAAGCAUAGCUUGUGGUAAUUAGCAGCAGCAACAAAAAUGUUUAGCGGAGCUUCCUCUUUUUAUCUUGAGGCAGUUCCUACAGACAGAUGCUUAGGAUUAAUGAAGUUUAAUGAGACCUGCAGCAGCUGGCUAAUUAGUCAGUGAGGAGGAAGUAGUAAUGACAAGAGAAAAAGGCUUUUACUCUUGUUUAUUAGCUCAGGUUUGGGACAGUUUU
rnacentral:lncRNA from 1 species